rnacentral:tRNA from 1 species
GGGCAGGUACUCAAGUGGCCAAAGAGGACAGACUGUAAAUCUGUUGCGUGAUCGCUUCGGGGGUUCGAAUCCUCCCCUGCCCACCA